CCACUCCGAUCCCUUCCCGAACUCGGCUGUGAA
rnacentral:rRNA from 1 species